rnacentral:rRNA from 1 species
UACGGGAGGCAGCAGUCGGGAAUAUUGCGCAAUGGAGGAAACUCUGACGCAGUGACGCCGCGUGCAGGAAGAAGGUUUUCGGAUUGUAAACUGCUUUAGUCAAGGAAGAUACAAGACAGUACUUGAAGAAUAAGCACCGGCUAACUAUGUGCCAGCAGCCGCGGUAAU